UACGUACGAGGCGAGCGUUAUCCGGAAUUAUUGGGCGUAAAGCGCGCGCAGGCGGAUGCUUAAGUUGGGCGUGAAAUCUCCCGGCCUAACUGGGAGGGGUCGCCCAAGACUGGGCGUCUUGAGGACAGCAGAGGUGGGUGGAAUUCCUGGUGUAGUGGUGAAAUGCGUAGAGAUCAGGAGGAACACCGGUGGCGAAGGCGGCAUCCUGGACCGAUACUGACGCUGAUGAGCGAAAGCCAGGGGAGCAAACGGG
rnacentral:rRNA from 1 species